rnacentral:rRNA from 1 species
AGUGAACGCUGGCGGCGUGCUUAACACAUGCAAGUCGAGCGAAUCUCAGCAGUGUAUCGCUGAGGUUAGCGGCAGACGGGUGAGUACUACUUGGGCAAUCUGCCCUUUAGUGGAAAACAACCGGCCGAAAGGCUGGCUAAUGUUCCAUAAGACCACGGGAUGGCAUCAUCCAGGGGUUAAAGCUCCGCAAGGGGCGCUAGAGGAGGAGCCCGAGUCCAUCAUGGUAGUUGGUGAGGUAACGGCUCACCAAGCCUUUGACGGGUAGCCGGCCUGAAAGGGUGACCGGCCACACUGGGACUGAGACACGGCCCAGACUCCUACGGGAGGCAGCAGUGGGGAAUAUUGCACAAUGGGCGAAAGCCUGAUGCAGCGACGCCGCGUGAGGGAUGACGGCCU